rnacentral:misc_RNA from 1 species
GGUCACCUCCCACCCGUGUUUAUUUUACCUUGUUGCUUCGGCGGGCCCGCCUUAACUGGCCGCCGGGGGGCUCACGCCCCCGGGCCCGCGCCCGCCGAAGACACCCUCGAACUCUGUCUGAAGAUUGUAGUCUGAGUGAAAAUAUAAAUUAUUUAAAACUUUCAACAACGGAUCUCUUGGUUCCGGCAUCGAUGAAGAACGCGGCCAUUACCGAGUGAGGGCCCUCUGGGUCCAACCUCCCACCCGUGUUUAUUUUACCUUGUUGCUUCGGCGGGCCCGCCUUAACUGGCCGCCGGGGG